UGGGGUGAUUUUGGAGGAAGAACCUCUAAGUUUUCAUCUUUCUUGAAGUUACAGGGUAACUUUGGCAAUAAACUUUCCUCUACUUUAAAUAUAUGCAAACUAAUGGUUUAGGGUUUCAAUUUCGGUUGUUUUAUGAGAAAAUAUCAUGGUUUGAAGUUGUGUUGUGAAAUUUUCAAUUUUAUGGUACUUUUCUGUCCACGUAUGAUAGUUAAGUGUUGGCCAUGGUUUGGUAGCUUUUCUAUGUGAAAUAUCUAGAUUUUAUAUGCUAGUUUGACUUGCCUAAAGAAACUUCCAGCUUGUGAUUAGGAAUUUCAGCUUAGGGUUUCAUUUUCUAACUUGAAUAGGUGACAGUUAUAUGCUUGAUGUAGUGAGUUGUUGGCUUGAUAUUUAUAUGCUUGAGUUGAAGUUAUUUCAUGGGAUGAAUGAAGCCUCGAAUGGGCUCGAAAAAGUUAGUAAACACAAAGGAAGUGCCGCUGAAAAUUUUUUCGCAGGGAACCUUGGAAAGUUUUACGAAAUCUGUUAUAUC
rnacentral:lncRNA from 1 species